UACGUAGGGUGCAAGCGUUAAUCGGAAUUACUGGGCGUAAAGCGUGCGCAGGCGGUGAUGUAAGACAGUUGUGAAAUCCCCGGGCUCAACCUGGGAACUGCAUCUGUGACUGCAUCGCUGGAGUGCGGCAGAGGGGAUGGAAUUCCGCGUGUAGCAGUGAAAUGCGUAGAGAUGCGGAGGAACACCGAUGGCGAAGGCAGCCCCCUGGCUAACACUGACGCUGGAGGCGCGAAAGCUAGGGGAGCGAACGGG
rnacentral:rRNA from 1 species